GCCCGAUUAUUUAGAGACCGGAUGGGGGAAGAGAUCCUUGCAACGGUCCUUACGUGCCCCCACAGCCAUGUUAGGAACAGGAGAAGAAUCUCAUCCUAACAUGAGCAAAGUCGAAGGCCCGAUUAUUUAGAGACUGGAUGGGGCGAGAGGCCCUUGCAAUAGUCCUUACGUGCCCCCACAGUCCUGUUAGGAACAGGAGGAGAACCUCAUCCUAAUAUGAGCUGAAAUUGACUGUGUCGGAAACAGGAGAAGAACCUCGUCCUGAUAC
rnacentral:lncRNA from 1 species